GAGUUUGAUUAUGGCUCAGAUUGAACGCUGGCGGCAGGCCUAACACAUGCAAGUCGAGCGGAUGAGUGGAGCUUGCUCCAUGAUUCAGCGGCGGACGGGUGAGUAAUGCCUAGGAAUCUGCCUGGUAGUGGGGGACAACGUUUCGAAAGGAACGCUAAUACCGCAUACGUCCUACGGGAGAAAGUGGGGGAUCUUUGGACCUCACGCUAUCAGAUGAGCCUAGGUCGGAUUAGCUAGUUGGUGAGGUAAAGGCUCACCAAGGCGACGAUCCGUAACUGGUCUGAGAGGAUGAUCAGUCACACUGGAACUGAGACACGGUCCAGACUCCUACGGGAGGCAGCAGUGGGGAAUAUUGGACAAUGGGCGAAAGCCCGAUCCAGCCAUGCCGCGUGUGUGAAGAAGGUCUUCGGAUUGUAAAGCACUUUAAGUUGGGAGGAAGGGCAGUAAGUUAAUACCUUGCUGUUUUGACGUUACCAACAGAAUAAGCACCGGCUAACUUCGUGCCAGCAGCCGCGGUAAUACGAAGGGUGCAAGCGUUAAUCGGAAUUACUGGGCGUAAAGCGCGCGUAGGUGGUUCGUUAAGUUGGAUGUGAAAGCCCCGGGCUCAACCUGGGAACUGCAUCCAAAACUGGCGAGCUAGAGUAUGGCAGAGGUGGUGGAAUUUCCUGUGUAGCGGUGAAAUGCGUAGAUAUAGGAAGGAACACCAGUGGCGAAGGCGACCA
rnacentral:rRNA from 1 species